rnacentral:rRNA from 1 species
UACGUAGGGUGCGAGCGUUGUCCGGAAUUAUUGGGCGUAAAGCGCACGUAGGCGGAUUGUUAAGUCAGGGGUGAAAUGCCAAGGCUCAACCUUGGAACUGCCUUUGAUACUGGAGACCUUGAGUCCGGGAGAGGUGAGUGGAAUUGCGAGUGUAGAGGUGAAAUUCGUAGAUAUUCGCAAGAACACCAGUGGCGAAGGCGGCUCACUGGCCCGGAACUGACGCUGAGACGCGAAAGCGUGGGGAGCAAACAGGG